rnacentral:siRNA from 1 species
UAAUUGGUAAUUGACAUAUAUCAA